UACGUUCCCGGGCCUUGUACACACCGCCCGUCACACCACCCGAGUUGGGGAUACCCGAAGCCGCUAGGCCAACCUGCAAAGGAGGCCGGCGUUUAAGGAAUGCCUGGUAAGGGGGGUG
rnacentral:rRNA from 1 species